UCUCUUUUUGAGCUGAUUAUUUAUUUUGAAAGGAUUUCAAAAUAUGGAAAGGUUAUUUCGAACCAUAAAUCAGAUUGUAUUGGGUUGGCUUAUACCUGAAAAAUAAGUGUUCUAGCUUGGUAUAGCUAGAGUCGGAGGUUCCGACGUUGUAUUCGGGUUGAAUACGAUUUAGUGGAUUUAAAUUUUCAAGUAGGAGCUUG
rnacentral:lncRNA from 1 species